rnacentral:lncRNA from 1 species
ACCUCAGCCUCCCAAAGUGCUGGGAUUACAAGCAUGAGCCACCGCGCCCAGCCUCUGUAUUCUUUAAAAUAAAUAAAUAAAAUUUUAAAAAAGAAGAAGAAGGAAGAAGGAAGGAGAAGGAGAAGAAGAAGGAGGAGGUCGGUGCCCAGAUAUGAAAGAAGAAGAAAAGGAGCCAGGACUGUCAUGACUGUCAAGCUGUCGUACCACGCUGGACUCUGUUUCCACAUUCAUUUAACAUGAGAAAUUCAGUUUCUGUCUUGUUAAGCCACAGUUGUCACUUCUCUGUUAUGAGUAGUCAAAAAUUUCCCUAAGGGAUACCAGCACCUAACUCAAGGGAAGUUGGAGAAGACUUGGCAAAGGACUUCACAUCAAAGAGGCAGCACAGAGAAGGAGCCAGAUUAUCUGGUGAACCUGAUUAGUAACGCAAUCCACCACACAGUCUUCAGGAGCAUUACUUCUGCUGAAUUUGAACUUUCAUCUCUCAGCUGACAACCAUUCUCAUAUCAACCAUCUUACCUGCUGAUACUGCCAAUUUCAGCAGCAUCGCCCUCUUAAGGACUAUUUGUACAAGCCUUUAAAUAUUUCAUUGCAUUUUAGCCCUUAUUAAUUUAUAACCAUGGAUGGAAAAUGGAAAAUUAAAGUGCUGAUAUGAGUCAUAGUCAUAAGAAACAUAGGUCUCAUAAGCCGGGCGCAGUGGCUCACGACUGUAAUCCCAGCACUUUGGGAGGCCAAGGCGGGUGGAUACCUGAGGUCAGGAGUUUGAGACCAGCCUGGCCAACAUGGUGAAACCCCAUCUCUACUAAAAAUACAAAAAUUAGCCAAGCGUGGUGAUGCACGUCUGUAAUCCCAGCUGCUCAGUAGGCUGAGGCGGGAGAAUCGGUUGAACCCAGGAGGCGGAGGUUGCAGUGAGCCGAGAUCGCGCCACUGCACUCCAGCCUGCGUGAUACAGCGAGACUCCGUCUCAAAAAAAAAACAACAAACAAACAUAGGUCUCAUAAACUUAAAACACAUAAGACGAUUCCUUGGACAUGCCAGAGGCUGUAUCUGUCUCAAUCAGAGUUUCCCCAGGCAGUCUAAGCUAAUGGACUCUGCUCAGUUGUGAAGGAAGCAAAUUAAGAAACUUGUCUUAAAAAAAAAAAAAAAAAGGUAAAAAAAGGCCGGGCGCGGUGGCUCACACCUGUAAUCCCAGCACUUUGGGCGGCUGAGGUGGGUGGAUCACCUGAGGUCAGGAGUUCGAGACCAGCCUGGCCAACACGGUGAAACCCCGCCUCUACUUAAAAUACAAAAAUUAGCCGGGCGUUGUGGUAUGCACCUGUAAUCCUAGCUACUUGGGAGGCUGAGGCAGGAGAAUCGCUUGAACCCGGGAGGCAGAGGUUGCAGUGAGCUGAGGUGGUACCAUUGCACUCCAGCCUGGGGGAUAAGAGUGAGACUUCAUCUUUAAAAAAAUAAAAGAAAGAAAGAAAGAAACUUGUAGUAGCCACGGUGAGUGCCUGUUGUUCCAGCUAUUCAGGAGCCUGAGGCAGGAGGAUCACUUGAGCCCAAGAGGUGGAGGCUGCAGUGAGCUGUGAUCCCACCACUGCAUUCCAGCCUGGGCAACAGAAUAAGAUCCUGUGUCAAAAAACAAAAACAGAAACACCAGACUGGGCAUAGUGGCUCACGCCUGUAAUCCCCGAACUUUGGGAGGCCGAGGCAGGCGGAUCAUCUGAGGUCGGGAGUUCAAGACCAGCCUCACCAACAUGGAGAAACCAUGUUGAAACUACAAAAUUAGCCGGGCAUAGUGGCACAUGCCUGUAAUCUCAGCCACUUGGGAGGCUGACGCAGCAGAAUUACUUGAACCUAGGAGGUGGAGGUUGCGGUGAGCUGAGAUUGAGCCAUUGCACUCCAGCUCGGGUAACAAGAGCGGAACUCCAUCUCAAAAAAAAAAAAGAAAGAAACUUGUAGUACCCAAGGUGCGUGCCUGUUGUUCAGGCUAUUCAGGAGCCUGAGGCAGGAGGAUCACUUGAGCACAGGAGGUGAAGGCUGCAGUGAGCCGUGAUCACACCGCUGCAUUCCAGCUUGGGCAACAGAAUAAGAUCCUGUGUCAAAACAAAACAAAACAAAAAAAACAGGUCAGGAGCAGUGGCUCACGCCUGUAAUCCCAGGACUUCGGGAGGCCAAGGCCAGCAGAUCACCUGAGGUCAGGAGUUCAAGAGCAGCCUGGCCAACAUGGUGAAAGCCCAUCUCUACUAAAAAUACAAAAAUUAGCCAGGCGUGGUGGCAUGCGCCAGUAGUCCCAGCUACUCCUGGAGGCUGAAGCAGGAGAAUUGCUUGAACCUGGGAGAUGGAGGUUGCAGUGAGCCGAGAUCGUGCUACUGCACUCCAGCUUGGGCAACAGAGUGAGACUCCGUCUCAAAAAAAAAAAAAAAAAAAAAAAUUCGGAUGUAAUUAGAAAGAUUUUUAAACUCUCUGGGAACAGAAACUCUGCGGUGUCAACUUGCGGACAUUCUGGUUUCAUAUUUAUUUCCAGGAACACAUUAUGUAGAAGCUACCCAUAUUUGGCUGACUUUUUGUUUUUUUUUAAGACAGGGUCAGGGCUGGAGUGCAGUGGUGCAUUUGUGGCUCACUGCAGCCUUGACCUCCUGGGCUCAAGCAAUUCUCUUGCCUCAGCCUCCUGAGUAGCUAGGCCUACAGGAGUGUGACACUAUAUUGGCUAACUUUUUUUUUUAAUUUAUAUUUUUUUGUAGAAAUGGGGGUCUUACCAUAUUGCCCAGGCAGGUCUUGAACUCCUGAGCUUAAGCGAUCUGCCUGCCUGGGCCUCCUAAAGAGCUGGGAUUACAGGCUCGAGCCACCGUGCAGGCUGGGGGUAUUGUUUUCUGAGCUGCAACACAGGCUUUAACACCCACAAUGAACAUAAGUGUGCUGUUGUCUUCCAUCUUCUUGGCUGACUAAGGGGGCCCGCAGAACAUGCUGAUGGUGCAGUGGUCAAGCUCUGCCGAGGAGACUUGGGCUGCCUCAGGAGCUGCAGGGUCUUGGGCUGCUAGAAGCUGGGUGACUUGAGGAUCUUCUUUUUCCCUGUGGCUGUGGAUGCCUUUCAGCACUGCCUUCUUCGCCUUCAAAGCCUUUGCCUUAACCUGGGCUUUGGGAGGAGCAGGACCUUCCUUCUCCACCUUUGACACAAUCUUCAGAAAAGCCUGAAGAGGCUUUCGUUGGUGAGACAGGACACAGUGAUGCUGGGCUGGGUGAAAGGCAGAACUCUGUUACUUACUUCUCCAAAGGAGAGAAGGCUGCCACACAGGACCACACAGGAGCUGCACCAGGAAGACUAACAGCAAGCUGGAAGUGUCUGAGGUGGCUUCUGUAAUGCAAAGGAGGUUUUAGGGCUUCCUGGAGUUUGGGUAUUUUGAUAAUUCUGUGACCAAACAAGAAAGGGCCAUUCCUGAGCAAAAAGUACCUGGGGGCUCUGGCCCUGAAUCUGUGCAUAUUGUAAGCCAGGGGUGUUACCGCCUGAUAAGGGAAAUAGUUGGGGUGAGGCCUUAGCAAACUGCCUGUGAUGGGAAUUAAGAAUUUUUAACCAUGGCUUCAAAACUCGGUCAAGAUGACACUUGAUUGCAUUCCAAAUCUUAAACAUUGAUAAACUAUAUUGAUGCCAUAAUGUGAUACCCUACCUUGUUUUAACCUGAUUGACUCUCUCUUAGCUGAGAGAGCUGGACAGACUCCAUUUUGGUUUCUUUGCUUGCAGUCCCUUGUCCCCCUCCCUUAAGGACAUAACUGGUGCAAGCUGACUCCAAGCACAUCCAAGAAUGCGCUUACUGGUAAGAUACUGAGGCAAGCUGUACCAGCAGCUCCUGGGAACGUGCUCGGUUGAUGGCACCCAAAGCCCCUGCGUUUAUCACUUUGUGAGAAUUUAAGCCCCCGCACCUGGGACUGUUUAUUUUCCUGUAACUGUUUCUGUAACCAUAUAUCUUUUAACUUUUUGCCUGUUCUGCUUCUGUAAAAAAACUGCUUCAGCUAGACUCCCCCUCCCCUAAUCAGACCAAAGUAUAGAAAGAAGUGUAGCCC